GGGAGAUGAUGCAAGGUAAGGUUGCGGCUCUGGAUGAUUGCUGUCCGUUAAACCAAUAUUCUAUUUUCUAUCAUACAGUACUUUUAAGUAUUUUUUGUGGGUUUAUAAAUGUAGCUUAAAUGGUCCAAAAUUAUCAAAGAGGUCAGCUACAGCAUAACUGUAAUAAAAUAAGAAAACAAACACGAAAUUUUAGGCAAUAUAGUACUCGUAUAUGAUUCACCUAGCUCUUAGUACAUGCACAUACCUACAGCAGUACGUUUAACAGAUGCUAUGUGAAGCCACAAGUGAAUGCUCUUGGCUGUGGGAGUCAUACAAGUCUUUGGGAAACCCCCCCAAAUAGAGAAGUAUGCUUUUAAAUGCUAUGUACUCUUCUAUCUUGUCGAGCCCAUAGAGGAUAUGAGCAACCACGAGGAUCAUUAGAAGAAGACCUUCACGUAUCCAUUCAAACUUCGUCAUGACUUUCUUGAGUUGAGGAGGAAAAAGUUCACCAGGAAACACAAUCUUCCAGGCAGAUCCCAACUCUCUUAGUUGUUCAUGAAGGGUGUGCGAUGUUGAAUGCUUUGAAAUGAAGCUACUUCUCCUAGUCUUGUUGUCAGUACGAGUCUGCUGGUAGUCACGGGAGGAAGACAUGGUAACAAGUAUUGUCGCACAUCUCUCGUCAAACAUCAUCAACACAAUCAGGUAGCUCCGACUACUUAAAACUCUGUUUAUAGUUGCACCUAGUUUGCGUCCAUGUUCUCCAAUACAUGAAUUACUAGACUCGUGCCGUGAGCAAGUUGUAAUCCAAGUAUAGUUUUCGCAUAAAGAUCAACUAAGGAAAGCUUAACCACGACAUUCAACACACCAUGGUAUUGUUAUUAGUCUAAUUGGUGUAGUUUCCAUACUGCAUCUUUUACUUGAGCAUCAAAUCUUUUACUUGAGCAUCUCUACUUAAAUAAACAAAUUCUCUUAGCAGAGUUAAAGUCACUACCUGUUUCGAAUAUAGAUCACUUUUCGACAUGAUUAACUUGUUUUUUUGCCUUUUUAUUUUAUGUGUGCCUAUAUAUUUAAUACCACUAUCAUAUUGUAAUGAAUUCAUACACAUUCUCUUCAACAAAACGUGGAUAUGUCUAUUUUCGCUUUACACCCCUCUCACUCUCCCUGUCAAAAUUCCAUGCAUAUCAUUCUUAUAUUUUUCAAAUGGAAAUCAACUACUCAAGUACCUCACAUACUAAUA